rnacentral:rRNA from 1 species
AGUGAACGCUGGCGGUAGGCCUAACGCAUGCAAGUCGAACGGCAGCACAGUAAGAGCUUGCUCUUACGGGUGGCGAGUGGCGGACGGGUGAGGAAUACAUCGGAAUCUACUUUUUCGUGGGGGAUAACGUAGGGAAACUUACGCUAAUACCGCAUACGACCUACGGGUGAAAGCAGGGGAUCUUCGGACCUUGCGCGAUUGAAUGAGCCGAUGUCGGAUUAGCUAGUUGGCGGGGUAAAGGCCCACCAAGGCGACGAUCCGUAGCUGGUCUGAGGGGAUGGUCAGCCACACUGGAACUGAGAAACGGUCCAGACUCCUACGGGAGGCAGCAGUGGGGAAUAUUGGACAAUGGGCGCAAGCCUGAUCCAGCCAUACCGCGUGGGUGAAGAAGGCCUUCGGGUUGUAAAGCCCUUUUGUUGGGAAAGAAAAGCAGCAGGUUAAUACCCCGCUGUUCUGACGGUACCCAAAGAAUAAGCACCGGCUAACUUCGU